UUGCUGAGUUCCAGAAGCCUUUACUACACAUCAUUGAGCCAAAAUAACUAGAAUUCUAAAGUCAGAAAGGACCCAACAGGUGUGAGGACCCAAAGGGGAUAUGCUCCCCGGGAAGAGAGAACACAAAAGCAAGAAUGGGGGCGAUGGCGCCCUGGAAGUGUAGACCCCCUGGAAAGUCGCCAGCUCCUACUCAGCCUUGCAGCUAGCCGCCCGUUACCAUGCAAGAAACUGGUGCCAGGAGGAAGAUGUUAGCAGAUUGGAACCAAAACACUCUGGCUCUAGUCCAGCCCCAAGAUUAAGAUAAUGACUGAAGAAGUAAAAAAGCCCUAAGUCUAAGUUUGUAUGAACCGGGUCAAUAUUUUUUAGAAACUUGUAAUAUUAAAUUAUCUUGUAAAUGUUAAA